GAGACCCCUGCCGUUAAUUGCUACCAUUAUCCGCAAGGAUGGUGGAGCUAGUUGGCGGGACUGCCGCCGCUAAGGCGGAGGAAGGAAGGGGCAACGGCAGGUCAGUAUGCCCCGAAACUCCUGGGCCACACGCGGGCUGCAAUGGUAGAGACAAUGGGUUCCUACCUCGAAAGGGGGAGGCAAUCCCCAAACUCUACCCCAGUUGUGACUGAGGGCUGCAACCCGCCCUCACGAAUCUGGAAUCCCUAGUAAUCGCAUGUCAUCACCGUGCGGUGAAUACGUCCCU
rnacentral:rRNA from 1 species